AUUCAGAAGUCACAUGCAGGACAUGUUGCCUUUGGAGAUUCCUUCCCUGGGCUAAGUUUGUCAACUCCCUGUUAAAAAUGAAGACUCUUAGAGGUCUAGAAUUUCAGGUUCAAAUGAAGAUCAGACUCCUUGAAGGUCCUUGAAAGAACGCAGUGGGAUGUGGAGACCUGACCUCUGGCCUUGGCCACCUCCUUUCUCAUCUCUUGUCUCCUAAGUCUUUGUCCCCAUGUCCAACAUGAGAGCUCUUCACAUCCUUUGUCUACUUAUUGGAAGCCAUUCCAAAUGUGCAUUCGAAGGCCUGAAGAAAGGAGAAGUGAUGGCAGACUAGUGGUGGAAACUGAUAAAUGAUGGAUGAGGAGCUGAGGAUGCCCCAUCCCUGUUUGGUCAAGAACUAUUGCUUUGCCUGAUAGCACUGAGACAUGGAAGAGUCCCCAGAGGGAAACCAGGGAAACGAGUCGUCUGUUCACAAGAGUGAGGAGGAGAUUUGGCGGAAACCUCGACCAUCAGGGACACGAGAUCUGCCUCCACAGAGGAAGCACAGGCGACUCGUUUCCUGACCCCUGGCCAUCUUAGGGCUUCCUAUAUAAUGAUUCAGCCCUUCUCCCUCAGGAAAAUAUAAUUUGGCUUGUGACCUUGAAGUUUAUUCCUAUCCUGGAAGCUGAUUAUAGUCUGGAACAUGCUUCCCAGGGCAGUAAUUGUUUAAGGGGCUGCCCUCAUCCUGGAUGGCAGGAAAACAAUACAUUACAUAUGUCGGCUGACUAUACAUGUGAGCAAUUCAAGUAGGAAAACAUCAUUCUCUGAGGGUCAGUUUGCUCCAGUGGGACAUAUUUGUUUUUGCAAGGAUUCAACUGAUCAAGUCAAUUGGAGUCAACUGCAUUUGCUCGCAGGAACAAUGAAGACCCUUUCCGGUUCUUGAGUCCAUCUGCUGGAUACAUAGACUCAAGUGACAUCCAAAUGUGUGAAGCAUUUCCUAUUUCUGAUAAUUUUUGAGGGGGUUGCCUAUGUGGGGUUACACCAUAAAUGCUUGUAUAAUGUCUUAUACUCAUUGCAUCAUGUGUGAAUCUAAGCCAUGCUUCCCAACAAUAUUGCAAGCUUUUUGGGGGCUGGUCUUCUGUCUCUUCUAUUCUUCCUCAGUUUUGUUGGUAGUGGGGCCAGAGGGAAUAAUUCUUUCCCACCUUAUUUUAUUUUAUGUGGAGGGAACAACAUUUUGUAAUGCUUCUGGCCUCUCUGUCUCUUCUCUAGAGACUGGAAUUCUUUUCUAGGAGAGCAGGAAUAACCCAUCUGCUUGAUAGAUUUGAGAUAAAUUUCUUCCAUCUUCUUGGGAGCUAGCUGCCCCCAUGAAACACGUUUUGGUCUGCUCACCCCUGCUGCUGUUUUUACAGGGUACCCUCCACACAUGUGUUUGUUGGGGAGGGGUGGAUAAGAAGUAAACCUGAAACAGGAAUUAUCCAGCCCACUCCCUAGGACUUGUCAACUAACUCUGCAAUGGAGUAUUUCCUAACGUGUGCUUCUCCUAAUGCUCUUAUUCCAUGACAUGACAAUAGGUGUUAUCCAGGAAAGAGGAGGGAUCUUACGUAGCCAUGUCAAGUUGGGAAGAGCUAUGUAAAACAAAGUAAAACUUGGUACAUGCCACAGGACUUCUCAGAGCCUUGGGUGUGCUAAUGUGCAUUUUGUGUCUUAUAUUUAGCUCAUGAAGCUCCUUGGCAAAAUUGCUCCUGUGACCUAAGCUUAUAGUCCUCAUUUCUGUCCUCAAGUCUUGGAUGAUUCUCAGAAUACACUGCAAAAGGCAAGAAUUUAUAAUUGGAGCCAUUAAACUGGAAUCUCACUGAUAAUGGUGAAAUGUCAUCACUAUUAUGAGGUGUGAAAUAGGUGGGAGAGAAGGUGGCCAAUGGCAUUUAUAGUAGAGUCUCCUUUCUGGAGAAACCUCAGCAACAGAGGGGCUGAGAGAUGAGGUAAUAAGCCUGUGAUGAAUUUUUGCAGAAGCCAGAUGGAUAGACCAGGCCACAGUCAGAUACAGAGGAGGAGGGAAGACACAGCUUCUGUCCUUAAGGUGCUCUAAGCUGAGUGAGAAAAUCCCUAGGUCAGCAGCUCUCAGAUGUGGCCCCUCAGCCAGACGCAUCAGCAGCACUAGGAACAUGUUGGAAAGUCUGCAGAGUUCAAUUAGAAUCCCUGCAUCACACCUUUCCACGAUUAAUUACUCAGGUCACAAUUUAGUUUCAACAUGAAUUUUGUGAAUUAAAGGAUUUUAGAAAUUUUGAGACCAUAUGACAUAGGGGUAAGUGCCUAGAGCCUGAAAUAGAAGGCCCAAGUAAAGCCUCAGUGGCUGGGGGUCCUUCCACUAUUCAGUUCACUUUCCUCUUCAGUAAAGUGGAGAGAGUAAUGGCUACCCUCCAUGGUUUAUGAGAUUAUAUAAAAGGUAAUUGAGAAAAUGUACGUAAAGUUGUUGCAACAGCUGUCAAGUGUCUCACAUGUGUAAAGACAGAUUUUGAGUCAAUACUGUUUGAAUCUUAUUUUGGCAAAAUGUAGUCCAUUUCUCUCCAAUUAAUUAUAGUCUCAGUAUAAAUCCAAAGUUCUUUUGGAUUCAGGCAUAGCUUUUACCCUGAGACUUCAUAUU